rnacentral:rRNA from 1 species
GAUGAACGCUGGCGGCGUGCCUAAUACAUGCAAGUCGAGCGAACAGACGAGGAGCUUGCUCCUCUAACGUUAGCGGCGGACGGGUGAGUAACACGUGGAUAACCUACCUAUAAGACUGGGAUAACUUCGGGAAACCGGAGCUAAUACCGGAUAAUAUAUUGAACCGCAUGGUUCAAUAGUGAAAGACGGUUUUGCUGUCACUUAUAGAUGGAUCCGCGCCGCAUUAGCUAGUUGGUAAGGUAACGGCUUACCAAGGCAGCGAUGCGUAGCCGACCUGAGAGGGUGAUCGGCCACACUGGAACUGAGACACGGUCCAGACUCCUACGGGAGGCAGCAGUAGGGAAUCUUCCGCAAUGGGCGAAAGCCUGACGGAGCAACGCCGCGUGAGUGAUGAAGGUCUUCGGAUCGUAAAACUCUGUUAUUAGGGAAGAACAAAUGUGUAAGUAACUAUGCACGUCUUGACGGUACCUAAUCAGAAAGCCACGGCUAACUACGUG